CGAGAAAAUAAAUGUUUAACAAUUCAAACGAGAAAACUAACGGCCUAAUUUAUGUACAAUAUAAUGAACGAAAAACGAAUAUAUUACACAGCAACGACAACCACCGAAUUACAGGCUCCAACACUCCCCCUUAUCUUGAGACAUUGGUGCAACAGAACGAUAAAAGAACUAUACAAAAACAUACAUAAACAAGCAACAAAUAAUCUAAGAC
rnacentral:lncRNA from 1 species